rfam:Callithrix jacchus chromosome 6, whole genome shotgun sequence
GUGCUCUGGUUUCUCUUCAUAACAAAUAAAUAUUUCACCUUUUACUAAAGAUUUCCGUGGAGAGGAACAAUUAUGAGUUUAUAACCUGAUUUUUUUGAUGUCCUGCUUAGGCAGGGCU